CACAAAAAGGCUAUUAGGUCUAGUAUAAAAAAAAUCUACUAAAGAAAUGGUCUAUAGCUUUUGUAGCCUAUAGCUUUUCAUGUGAAGAGGAAUAGGGGUGUGGCUAGCGUAUAAAAAGGGGUUAUUUUGGGGUUCUAUAUAGAACCUUUUGCUUCUUUGGAAAAGUGUAAUGUGGAUUUCAUCUAACAACAGCUAACAAAAGCUAACAUAGUCACAUCAAACUAACUAGCUCCCUUUUCAUUUGUUUUCGCUAUUUUGCGUUCACAUUUAUAUCCAUAUUAAUGAUGCUGCUGCAUGAUUUCAGCUGGUCAGAAAAAUGGCUAGCUGACGUCCUACAGGUGAACGCUCUACGGCAGGGGGGAUAUCGAAUUCACAUUUUGCAACAUUGCUGCUGAGGUCAGAGUGGCAAACAGCAAGGUUCAUACAAACCUGUGCUGUUGCAAACUAAAUGCUAGAUAGAAGCAAGAGGAAAUAAUGUGUUUAAUAAAAGGGGUUCUAUAUAGAACCUUUUGAUCAAUUAAAAUUUUGACUGUCAUUCUGAUUCAAAAACCAACUGCCAUUCCAGCAUGAAGAUGCAAGAGGAGGUGGUUGAACUUACAAAUAGCAUACAAUUUCAAUUGAUAAAGCAUUUUAGUGUGGAGUCAGAUGAGGCGACUAUGUUUCAUGAAGCCAUUAGAAGACUGUUGCUGACCUUUGUUGAAUGCAGGUGAUUGGCAGUGGGCUGACUAAGAGGAAUCUGGCAGUAACCCAAUUAUCAGAGGCAGAGGAUCUCUCCUUUGGCUGCUUCUGAUGAUGACAACAACUGCAUGAACCAGCCAGGCUAAAGAAGUCAGCCAGAUUUGUGCCAAGAUUGAUGUGGGUCAUCAUUCAAACAAAGAGAUGCCUCCAUGGCCACCAGUGCAUAUUUCCAAACGAUAUUUGCAUAUAAUGACAAUUAAAUCUAAAAACUA